rnacentral:misc_RNA from 1 species
AAAGAUUAUAUUUUAGUUUUUGUAUAAGGUUUCUUUCUGACAAAAUUUCAUUAUCGAAUCUACAUUUCAUUUUAUAUUUGUAGAUUGUAAAACAUACAAAAGAUAUAAGAUUGUUCAACAUAACUGUAUGAAUAUUAUUUUCUUUAUAAAAACCUAGGACUAUAGUUUUCCAUGUUAUUGUGAGAUGCAAAAAAGUCCCUACUCGUUUCCAUAUUUUGUUUACCAUUUCGCAACUAAAUAACAAAUGAUGUGCAUCUUCGACUAAUUUACAUACAUCACAUAGUGGAGAUACAUUUUCAUUCCACUUGCUUACUGCCAAAUUAUUGUUUACAAUACAAUGCAGUAACUUAUAGUUAAAUUCUGCAAUAUUAUUUUCAUACAUUUGUUUAAUUUUAGAAAAAUAAAUAUUUUCCCAGUU